rnacentral:rRNA from 1 species
UGGGGAAUAUUGGAAAAUGGGCGAAAGCCUGAUCCAGCCAUGCCGCGUGUGUGAAGAAGGUAUUAGGAUUGUAAAGCAAUUUAAGUUGGGAGGAAGGGCAUUAACUUAAUACGUUAGUGUUUUGACGUUACCGACAGAAUAAGCACAGGCUAACUCUGUGCCAGCAGCCGCGGUAAUACAGAGGGUGCAAGCGUUAAUCGGAAUUACUGGGCGUAAAGCGCGCGUAGGUGGUUUGUUAAGUUGGAUGUGAAAUCCCCGGGCUCAACCUGGGAACUGCAUUCAAAACUGACUGACUAGAGUAUGGUAGAGGGUGGUGGAAUUUCCUGUGUAGCGGUGAAAUGCGUAGAUAUAGGAAGGAACACCAGUGGCGAAGGCGACCACCUGGACUAAUACUGACACUGAGUUGCGAAAGCGUGGGGAGCAAACA